CCUACGGGAGGCUGCAGUGGGGAAUAUUGGACAAUGGGGGCAACCCUGAUCCAGCCAUGCCGCGUGUGUGAAGAAGGCCCUCGGGUUGUAAAGCACUUUCAGUGAGGAAGAACGCCUGGUGGUUAAUACCCAUCAGGAAAGACAUCACUCACAGAAGAAGCACCGGCUAACUCCGUGCCAGCAGCCGCGGUAAUACGGAGGGUGCGAGCGUUAAUCGGAAUUACUGGGCGUAAAGCGCGCGUAGGUGGCUUGAUAAGCCGGUUGUGAAAGCCCCGGGCGCAACCUGGGAACGGCAUCCGGAACUGUCAAGCUAGAGUGCAGGAGAGGAAGGUAGAAUUCCCGGUGUAGCGGUGAAAUGCGUAGAGAUCGGGAGGAAUACCAGUGGCGAAGGCGGCCUUCUGGACUGACACUGACACUGAGGUGCGAAAGCGUGGGUAGCAAACAGGAUUAGAUACCCCAGUAGUA
rnacentral:rRNA from 1 species